rnacentral:rRNA from 1 species
UGGGGAAUAUUGCACAAUGGGCGAAAGCCUGAUGCAGCAACGCCGCGUGAGUGAUGAAGGCCUUCGGGUUGUAAAGCUCUGUCUUUUGGGACGAUAAUGACGGUACCAAAGGAGGAAGCCACGGCUAACUACGUGCCAGCAGCCGCGGUAAUACGUAGGUGGCGAGCGUUGUCCGGAUUUACUGGGCGUAAAGGAUGCGUAGGCGGAUGUUUAAGUGAGAUGUGAAAUACCCGGGCUUAACUUGGGUGCUGCAUUUCAAACUGGAUAUCUAGAGUGCGGGAGAGGAGAAUGGAAUUCCUAGUGUAGCGGUGAAAUGCGUAGAGAUUAGGAAGAACACCAGUGGCGAAGGCGAUUCUCUGGACCGUAACUGACGCUGAGGCAUGAAAGCGUGGGUAGCAAACA